rnacentral:lncRNA from 10 species
GAACAAGAAAAGGCUCUGAAACAGAUCCAAGAUGUUGUUUGAGCCAUGCAACUAGAAGAUCUCAUAGAACUAAAGUUAUCUAAUUUACAGAAAAGGUUUUACGUGACGUCUAUUGUACAGAUUCAUAUGAAAACCAUAGUUCAAACUCCAAGGUUUAAGAAGUAAGAAAGAUCAUGCCAUUUGCAACAAACAUGCAUGCAUAUUUGAAAAGCAACUAUCUGUUGUGGGAAAACUAGAAGACCAAAAAAAGCACGAAAGUCAAGAAAGAAGUCUCUUUUCACAUGAAAGUGGCCUGAAGACAAAUACUGCUAUGAAUGGUUACAUCUAGGACUUCUGAAAUUAGCCCCAGAUUCAACUCAUUUUUUUCUGCAUUUGCUGAGCAAUAUGACAUGUUUACACCGAUUAGCUAAAAAGUUAUGUGAAGAAUGGGCAACAAUAUCUCUAAGUAACUAGGAGACCAUGUCCCUUGGCAUAAGUAUUGAUCUUCAAUAAUUUGUCCUUGAUAUUGAGAGAAGAGGAUCAAACUAUUUGAACCGGAUUGCUGUACUUCAACAUGUAAAGUGAAAAUGCAGACCCAGUUGACUAUAUUUCACUCAUUUGGGCCAAAGAAGCAGAAGUUUAUUAACAAAGAAGGAGAAUAACAAAAGAAAUAUAAGAUGGAAAGAAAAGCAAAAAGAAAGAAAACUAAAGAAAAAGCAAAAGAAAGAAUACUAAAUCUGAAAUACAUUUUCGUCCCCAAAUCAAGUUGGUGCAUAAAGUUCAAAUGUUUUCCUGAU